rnacentral:rRNA from 1 species
AAUGAACGUUGGCGGCGUGGAUUAGGCAUGCAAGUCGAGGGCGAACCCCGCAAGGGGGGAGACCGGCGAACGGGGUAGGACAACAUCGGUAACGUACCCUCUGGACGGGGAUAGCGGCGGGAAACUGCCGGUAAUACCCGAUGAUCUGGCGAGAAUGGGAUGCUCGUCAGCAAAGGUGUGAUUUCACCAGGGGAGCGGCUGAUGCGCUAUUAGCUAGUUGGCGGGGUGACGGCCCACCAAGGCGACGAUGGCUAGGGGGUGUGAGAGCAUGGCCCCCACCACUGGCACUGAGACACUGGCCAGACACCUACGGGUGGCUGCAGUCGAGAAUCUUCGGCAAUGGGCGAAAGCCUGACCGAGCGACGCCGCGUGCGGGAUGAAGGUCUUCGGAUUGUAAACCGCUGUCGGAGGGGAUGAAGUGCAGCAGGGUUCUCCCUGUUGUUUGACAGAGCCUCGGAGGAAGCACGGGCUAAGUUCGUGCCAGCAGCCGCGGUAACAC